rnacentral:rRNA from 1 species
GAUGAACGCUGGCGGCGUGCCUAAUACAUGCAAGUCGAGCGAACAGACGAGGAGCUUGCUCCUCUGACGUUAGCGGCGGACGGGUGAGUAACACGUGGAUAACCUACCUAUAAGACUGGGAUAACUUCGGGAAACCGGAGCUAAUACCGGAUAAUAUAUUUAACCGCAUGGUUCAAUAGUGAAAGACGGUUUUGCUUUCACUUAUAGAUGGAUCCGCGCCGCAUUAGCUAGUUGGUAAGGUAACGGCUUACCAAGGCAACGAUGCGUAGCCGACCUGAGAGGGUGAUCGGCCACACUGGAACUGAGACACGGUCCAGACUCCUACGGGAGGCAGCAGUAGGGAAUCUUCCGCAAUGGGCGAAAGCCUGACGGAGCAACGCCGCGUGAGUGAUGAAGGUCUUCGGAUCGUAAAACUCUGUUAUUAGGGAAGAACAAAUGUGUAAGUAACUAUGCACGUCUUGACGGUACCUAAUCAGAAAGCCACGGCUAACUACGUG